rnacentral:rRNA from 1 species
UGGAUCCAGACUUUGAUUCUGGCUCAGGAUGAACGCUGGCGGCGUGCCUAAUACAUGCAAGUCGAACGAAACUUCUUUAUCACCGAGUGCUUGCACUCACCGAUAAAGAGUUGAGUGGCGAACGGGUGAGUAACACGUGGGCAACCUGCCCGAAAGAGGGGGAUAACACUUGGAAACAGGUGCUAAUACCGCAUAACCAUGAAUACCGCAUGGUAUUUAUGUGAAAGGUGGUUUCGGCUACCGCUUUCGGAUGGACCCGCGGCGCAUUAGCUAGUUGGUGGGGUAAAGGCUUACCAAGGCAAUGAUGCGUAGCCGAACUGAGAGGUUGAUCGGCCACAUUGGGACUGAGACACGGCCCAAACUCCUACGGGAGGCAGCAGUAGGGAAUCUUCCACAAUGGGCGAAAGCCUGAUGGAGCAACGCCGCGUGGGUGAAGAAGGUCUUCGGAUCGUAAAACCCUGUUGUCGGAGAGGAAAGUGCAUGAGAGUAACUGUUCAUGUUUCGACGGUAUCUGACCAGAAAGCCACGGCUAACUACGUGCCAGCAGCCGCGGUAAUACGUAGGUGGCAAGCGUUAUCCGGAUUUAUUGGGCGUAAAGGGAACGCAGGCGGUCUUUUAAGUCUGAUGUGAAAGCCUUCGGCUUAACCGGAGUAGUGCAUUGGAAACUGGGAGACUUGAGUGCAGAAGAGGAGAGUGGGACUCCAUGUGUAGCGGUGAAAUGCGUAGAUAUAUGGAAGAACACCAGUGGCGAAAGCGGCUCUCUGGUCUGUAACUGACGCUGAGGUUCGAAAGCGUGGGUAGCAAACAGGAUUAGAUACCCUGGUAGUCCACGCCGUAAACGAUGAAUGCUAAGUGUUGGAGGGUUUCCGCCCUUCAGUGCUGCAGUUAACACAAUAAGCAUUCCGCCUGGGGAGUACGACCGCAAGGUUGCAACUCAAAGGAAUUGACGGA